rnacentral:sRNA from 1 species
GUCCCUGAAACAACAGGGGCCGGGUUUGGAAGCCCGAGCGUUUCUAGGCGGACGACCGCCUUUGUGCGGUUUUUUA